GAUGAACGCUGGCGGCGUGCCUAAUACAUGCAAGUCGAGCGAACAGAUGAGGAUCUUGCUCUUCUGACGUUAGCGGCGGACGGGUGAGUAACACGUGGAUAACCUACCUAUAAGACUGGGAUAACUUCGGGAAACCGGAGCUCCUACCGGAUAAUAUUUUGAACCGCAUGGUUCAAUAGUGAAAGACGGUUUUGCUGUCAAUUAUAGAUGGAUCCGCGGCGCAUUAGCUAGUUGGUUAGGUAACGGCUUACCAAGGCGACGAUGCGUGACCGACCCGAGAGGGGGAAGGGGCCCACUGGGACUGAGACGCGGUCCAGACUCCGACGGGAGGCAGCGGUAGGGAAGCUUCCGAAAUGGGCGAAAGCCUGACGGAUGAACGGCGCGUGAGUGAUGAAGGUCUUCGGAUCGUAAAACUCUGUUAUUAGGGAAGAACAAAUGUGUAAGUAACUAUGCACGGCUUGACGGUACCUAAUCAGAAAGCCACGGCUAACUACGUG
rnacentral:rRNA from 1 species